CAAAAUACAAUAUAACACGGAAAAAGUGAUAAACAUUCGGCAGACAUUAUCAAACAGAUGUUGCCACUUCCCAGUGCGGCAGGAGGCAGGAACCCAAAGCGAAGACGUGCCCGACGAGUUCGGGUGGCCCGAUGAUUACCCCAACCGAAAAUAAAAUAAAGAAGUGUAUAAAACACGAAGUCAAAGGUAUUCCAUCCCCACAAGUGGCAACAUAUGUGGCUGAAGCACGGCACAGCCACUGCCGCAGCCACUGCCACUGCCACAGCCACAGCCAUUUAUUGACACAAGAUUGUCAAAACGUACCUGAGCCAAUGGAGGACGAACACGUUUCGGAGCACUCCCCGGGACCGGGACCAGGUCGACGUCGACAUCAAUUCAAUUAAAAUGGAGCACUUAAUUUUAUGCCAAGUUCGCCGCACUCAAAACUCUACCCUCCACAGCCGUACCCGGGUAUCCGGGCGCCCGGGUACUACCUCGGUACGGGCAUGAUUCCGGGUCGAUGGCAAAUCAAAAAGGAAUCGCGCAGGCAGCUUGUCUGAGAGUGUCCUGAAGGGUGUCCUCGAGGACUGGAGCUGGAGCUGGAGCUGGAGCCGGUUUCGGUGGCAAAGCAACGGUAAGCAAACACAAACGCCAGGACACCAGGACACCAGAACACUGGGAGACUGGGAGACUGGGAUGCCAGAGUGCGGACAAGGACGAGUACACGGACCAGAACACGCACUCAGCCAUGGGCGAAUGGGUUUUCGGGAAUGAGUCUGAAACGAGUGCAUCACAAUGAGGCAGGAGGACCUGGGCCUGGACCUGGACCUGGACCUGGUGCUGAAGCACUCAACGCUGCGUAUACGUAAUAUUUGAAGAGCCAUCGAUGCAAAAAAUGGUGAAUCAGUGUUUUUACUGGUUUUAUUAUUUGCACAUUUGCACCGAAAACUCAUUCCCAUCUGCUUUUCCUUCAACGAAUGUGGAAAAUACCAAAAACCGAAUGAAAUCGCACAACAAAAAAAAGCAGAAAGGAGAGACAGUGUGUCCUGCUUGCGGAUGGUCUAUGAAAAAACCAUUUAACUUUGUGCACUCGCAGGCAAAACCGGCACACCGCACACAUUAAACAUAGGCAAACACAGGCAGAGGACACUCGCCCAGGAGCUGUGAGAGAGAGAGGGGGACGCAGGGAGUCACGCUCGACAAAAUGCGAAUUUGUGGCCUGGCCCCCGGCAGACAUCCUCUGCCCCAAUUCGAAACAGAAGGGAAUAUGCCCCAGUUGAAUGUACUAUUUUGCUGCACACAUAAUUAAAACGAGAUCAAGAGGACUGGCACCUGACAUCGCAUUUGUUUGGGAUGAUUCCUCAAUGAUUUUUGUUAUUAAUCCAUUCCUGAAUGUCAAAUGUAUU